rnacentral:rRNA from 1 species
GACGAACGCUGGCGGCGUGCCUAAUACAUGCAAGUUGAGCGCUGAAGGUUGGUCCUUGUACCAACUGGAUGAGCAGCGAACGGGUGAGUAACGCGUGGGGAAUCUGCCUUUGAGCGGGGGACAACAUUUGGAAACGAAUGCUAAUACCGCAUAAAAACUUUAAACACAAGUUUUAAGUUUGAAAGAUGCAAUUGCAUCACUCAAAGAUGAUCCCGCGUUGUAUUAGCUAGUUGGUGAGGUAAAGGCUCACCAAGGCGAUGAUACAUAGCCGACCUGAGAGGGUGAUCGGCCACAUUGGGACUGAGACACGGCCCAAACUCCUACGGGAGGCAGCAGUAGGGAAUCUUCGGCAAUGGACGAAAGUCUGACCGAGCAACGCCGCGUGAGUGAAGAAGGUUGUCGGAUCGUAAAACUCUGUUGGUAGAGAAGAACGUUGGUGAGAGUGGAAAGCUCAUCAAGUGACGGUACCUACCCAGAAAGGGACGGCUAACUACGUG